AUGGAGAGCUAUAUGAACGUCUAUGGCUUCAAGUUGAUGGGAUUGUAUUCUUUUUAAGGAACUAAAUCAUAUCAGCGACUUUCCUCCAUUCUGUUGAAAAAAUCUGUUCUCAAAGAUGUUAAAAAACUAUCUUCAGAAGCACAAACUAGUUGUCUCGAAGGUUUUCAUUCAACAUUAAAUGGUUGGCAUCCAAAGAUGACCCACUUUUCUUGGCUUGGUACAUAUUGCAGGUAACUUGUAAUCACUGUUCUCUAUCUGCCAAGGCUUUUUUACUUGUUCCUAGUCAAGAAAAAAAAUUACAUAGUAAAUGGUUUGUUCUGUUUAGGCACGUACUGGCAGUACUUCAUUUCAAUGAAAACCUUCACAGACAGCCAAAAAAAACAAAAAAUGGAACACCAUAUUAUUCUGUGACAUACCCAAAAUUUAAAUCAGGGGAUGAAGUAGUAAGAACUGUUUCUUCAGCACCAUCAUAUUGUAAGUUUAGCAUGUAUGCAUUGGUACUCUUGACUUACACAUCUAACCACUUGUCAUUUUUCCAGACUAUGUUAAUGAAAUCAAAAAUGUCAUGGUUCUUAGUUGUGAGGAAUCCAUGGACAACAUAUUUAAGAAGUAUAAGGAAAAAGUCCCAGAAGCCUUAAACAAAACGUUCUCGGAUCGAAUUUCCAAAACUGAGGCAAUUCAACGGCAUUUGGAUUGGAAACAACUAUCUUCAACACCAUUGUUUCCCACAUAUCAACAGCAAGAUGUACUGCAAGCAAAAGGUUUAGACAAAGAAAAACAAGCUGCUUCAACAGGUCCUUCAGAUCCAAAAA